rnacentral:rRNA from 1 species
UACGGAGGGUGCAAGCGUUAAUCGGAAUUACUGGGCGUAAAGCGCACGCAGGCGGUAAAUUAAGUUAGAUUUGAAAGCCCCGAGCUUAACUUGGGAAUUGCAUCUGAAACUGGUUGUCUAGAGUCUUGUAGAGGAGGGUAGAAUUCCAUGUGUAGCGGUGAAAUGCGUAGAGAUGUGGAGGAAUACCAGUGGCGAAGGCGGCCCCCUGGACAAAGACUGACGCUCAGGUGCGAAGGCGUGGGGAGCGAACAGG